UCCCAGUCAUUUACUUCACGCCACUCCUAGUUACUAUCACACUAGGAAGAAGUCUAACAUGCAAAUUCAGAGUGGCUGAUAAAUGGGAAAAAAUGCCUAGAAAAUUGGUCUGUUCGGCUUUAUAAUUUUUGUUGAAAAAUACUCCAUCGUUCCCAACUGAUGAAAACAGGAAGCUCUAUUCAUAAAUAUGAAAUUCUCUGCCUAUGAUAUAUAAUCAUCCUAAUAAGAAAAUGAGUUCUAUACAUACAUGUCCAAAGGGGCAAAAAAGGAGAUAGUUUCCCAAAGAUGUUUCCAAUUUUCUUCUGAAUCAGAAUUAGCAAAUCGAGACGACUAACAUACUCUGUCUGUGUGCAUUAUUUCUUGCUACACACAGCAUUUUGCAAUUUAUUUCAAAGCUUUCAUUAUAAACAAAAAAUACAGCUUCUGUUAACCCACUCUAUCCUGAGCUUAUAAAAUCUAAUGCUGAACAACCUAAGUUAUAACAUAAGAAGUUUACUUUAUACAUGUAUAAGAUUUGCUAUCAAAGGCUCUGUUAAAGUUAAACUCCAAAUAAACUACUUAAAGAAUUAUACAAAAUGAAUACAAUUCCUUGACAAAUAAAAAUCAUUACAAGCAUAAAGAAAACUAAAAUUCCGCCAAUAAUAUGUUACAAUUCUUGUCAUUCAUUUUUAUAAAUCCUCAAACUAGUCAUAAAAGAAAGGUAUAUGUAAUAUAAACGAUACGAAUUGCAUUUAAUCCUUACUGUAGGAGCCGGCAUCUAAUAUUGAUCAUACAUAAACUAGACAGACAUGAUUUAACAUUUGUAAAAGGAAUCCCCAGACUAACACUUUCAUGACAGCCAAUUACAGUCAAGCCCAGCAAGCAGUUUGCAACCAGACCUUAAGAAAGGUAAACUUUUUUACAAUGAGUUACAGAUUCACAAGUUUAAGAAGACAGGAAAAAGAAAAACAGAAGGACUCCAAUCACCCAGCAAAUAUGAAGCAGACCCCAGAAUGUGAUACAAUCCAAAGAUGUAAAUUAUUGUAAAUCAUCACUGUUGUUCAGAAUUUCACACAGCCUCUUGAGCCAAUUUUGCUCACUUUUCCACAGACACAAUAAUGAACUAAAUAAAAGGAGGAGGGGGAAAAAAGUAGGGGUGGGGGGGAUAGAAAGGAAAGCCCUUAACUGCAGAAUUCUGCUCUACAAAUGCUUAACCUUACAGGAGUUUGGGCUCCUUCAGCAUUUGUAUUCUAUCCAAAUCCUCAUGAGUCACAAAAAUUAAAUAGCUAUAUCCUUCUGGAUGCCAGGAAGGGCCUUACCACAAGCCUUUUGUCAGAGAGAGAGAGAGAGAGAAAGAGAGAGCAAGAGCAAGGGGGGAAAGCCACAGUGGUAGGCAGUCCCACUUUACUUUGAGCACUGUGAGGUCACAAACCACAUGAUUCUGUCUCUCCAGUAAUAGUGCUUGCAAAAAAAGGAGUUUUAAAGCUUUUGCUUUUUUGGAUUGUGUGAAUGCUUCAUUCGCCUCACAAACAACCACAGAACCACAAGUGCGGUGCAAACUUUCUCCAGGAGGACAGCAAGAAGUCUCUGGUUUUUCAAUGGUUAAUCUCCGCAGGUCCCUACCAGCCACCGAGACCAACAGAGUCAUUUAAGGCUGCAAGCAGAAUUUACAACAGAGGGUACAAGUUCUAUCUGAAAAAAAAAGGAGGGACUAUGGCAUCAAACAGCCUCUUCAGCACAGUGACACCAUGUCAGCAAAACUUCUUUUGGGGUGAGGAAACUGAAGUCCAGAGGGGUUUCUUGAACUGCCCAAGGACACAUCACUAUUUAGUGAUACAGCUGGGACUAAAACUGAGGUCCCCUUGACUCCUGGUCCAGAGUUCUUUCUACUAUCCCACAAGGAAUAUACAAAUAAAAGUUGAUCGUAAUUAACUCACAAGACCUCCACAAUGUGUUUGUCAUAGUGAACUUUGUUGUGAAAUACCUGCCUAUGCCGACUCAGGUUAGCAGUGAAGAACUGGGCUCUGGAGUUCAAAUACAGGCUCUAACACUUAACCAUGUGACCUUGGGCAAGUCACAUCACCUCCCUGCCUCAGUUCCCUCAUCUUUAAAGUAGAAAUUAAAAAUACUCCUCUCAUAGGUUACAUGAAGUAUAAUGUCUAUAAAGCACUUAGGACAGUGCCUGGUAUAUGGAAAGCUUUCAGUUCAUGAUGAUGAUGAUGAUGAUGAAGAUGAAGAAUCAUCAUCCAAGCAAAAGCAUAGCUUCUUGAAAACAUAUCACAAAGUAUUAUCAUUAAAACAUAUAUAUUCUCAAAGAAAAAAUGGUAUGAUUAGUAGUCUUUUAAAGAUUCAGAAACAAAAAAGUGAAAUAUAUAGGAUUCAGUCAUAAAACCUCUAUAGCAUUGAAAAUAGCAAAAGUACACUUCAAGAUUUUAAAAUGAUUUAUAUUUGUAUAAUAUUUUACAAUUUAUAAAGUGCAUUCUCAUAUAUUUUUCAAUUUACUGUCCUAUGAAUUCAACAAGCAGCAUUUUUUCAACUACAUACUAUAUGCCAGAUAGCAUGCAAUUUACCUAUUCAUUACCUUAUUUAAUAUUCAAUAUCCACUACCUACCAGCUAGAUGUUAUUAGAGGCAAUAGUAUAAUGCAAAAAAAGAAACCCUGACAUCAGUUCCAGAAAGAGCCUCAUCAGUAUCACCUAGUAAGUGAAAAUGACAUGUUUGGAUAAAUAAAUGAGAUGCAGCAUUUAGCACAAUGAAAGGAACACAUCAAGUGCCCGAGAAAAUGUUGGUUCUCUCUUAGCAGUAGGAUGGAGUUGUUUUGUAUAGAAAAUAUAUUGUAACUAGAUCAAUAAAGUGCCAUUACUGUGA